ACGAACGCUGGCGGCGUGCUUAACACAUGCAAGUCGAACGGAAAGGCCCUGCUUUUGUGGGGUUCUCGAGUGGCGAACGGGUGAGUAACACGUGAGUAACCUGCCCUUGACUUUGGGAUAACUUCAGGAAACUGGGGCUAAUACCGGAUAGGAGCUCCUGCUGCCUGGUGGGGGUUGGAAAGUUUCGGCGGUUGGGGAUGGACUCGCGGCUUAUCAGCUUGUUGGUGGGGUAGUGGCUUACCAAGGCUUUGACGGGUAGCCGGCCUGAGAGGGUGACCGGCCACAUUGGGACUGAGAUACGGCCCAGACUCCUACGGGAGGCAGCAGUGGGGAAUAUUGCACAAUGGGCGGAAGCCUGAUGCAGCAACGCCGCGUGCGGGAUGACGGCCUUCGGGUUGUAAACCGCUUUCGCCUGUGACGAAGCGUGAGUGACGGUAAUGGGUAAAGAAGCACCGGCUAACUACGUG
rnacentral:rRNA from 1 species